UACAGAGGGUGCUAGCGUUAUUCGGAAUUACUGGGCGUAAAGCGCACGUAGGCGGCUAGAUAAGUCUGGUGUGAAAUCCCUGGGCUCAACCCAGGACGGUCAUUAGAUACUAUCUAGCUCGAGUACAGGAGGGGAGAGUGGAAUUCCAGGUGUAGAGGUGAAAUUCGUAGAUAUCUGGAGGAACAACAGUGGCGAAGGCGACUCUCUGGACUGUAACUGACGCUGAGGUGCGAAAGCGUGGGGAGCAAACAGG
rnacentral:rRNA from 1 species